rnacentral:rRNA from 1 species
UACAGAGGGUGCAAGCGUUGUUCGGAAUUAUUGGGCGUAAAGGGUUCGUAGGCGGUGCGGCAAGUCGGGAGUGAAAUCUCUGGGCUUAACCCAGAGGCUGCUUCCGAAACUGCUGUGCUUGAGUGUGGGAGAGGCGCGUGGAAUUGCAGGUGUAGCGGUGGAAUGCGCAGAUAUCAGGAGGAACACCAAUAGCGAAGGCAGCUCGCUGGGACGUUACUGACACUGAGGCGCGAAAGCGUGGGGAGCAAACAGG